AGUCCAGAUUUAGACCUCAGUCUUUCCCAGACAUUCACAGCCAGCUGUCCCAAGCUGAAGUUGCCUCCUGGUUCUGAGCUUCCUUCUGGUCGCCAUGCCUCCGAUCCUUCACCAGCCGGCGUCGUAGCACAGCCUCACCAGUCUUCAGGUGUGUCCGAGCGCUGUGACGUUGGGUUUGGAUGCCCCGGGUGUCGCCACUCGGUCUGGUUCCCCAGAGGCAGACCUCUGGCUCCUCUUGCCCAGACAUGGAGCCUCUCGCAGAGGUGCCUUUAUUUGAGAUGGACCAGGAUGAAGAAGACGAGGACGAGGAUGUUCUCUCCAUGAAGAGCAGAGCAGGUUGUACGGACGCCGCAGCGCCCCCUGCAGGCUCAGACCCCGACACCUUCAUCUACAUGAAGUUCAUGAAGAGCCACUGCUGCUACGACGCCAUCCCCACCAGCUCCAAACUGGUCAUCUUCGACACCUCGCUGCAGGUAAAGAAGGCCUUCUUUGCGAUGGUCUCCAAUGGUGUCAGGGCAGCCCCGCUGUGGGACAACAAGCUCAAGUGUUUUGUGGGAAUGUUGACCAUCACAGACUUCAUCAACAUCCUCCAUCGCUACUACAAAUCUCCUCUGGUUCAGAUCUACGAGCUGGAAGAACACAAGAUCGAGACAUGGAGAGAAAUCUACCUGCAGUACUCCAUUAACAGACUCAUCAGCAUCACGCCAGACUCCAGUCUGUUCGAUGCCAUCUACUCCCUGCUGAAGAAUAAGAUCCACCGGCUGCCCGUCAUCGACCCGGCUUCAGGGAACGUCCUGCACAUCCUGACGCACAAACGCAUCCUCAAGUUCCUCCACAUCUUUGGUUCCAUGAUUCCCAAACCCAGGUUCUUGCAGAAGCGGAUCAACGAAGUUCCCAUCGGAACCUUCAAGGAGAUCGCAACUGUUCAGGAAUCUGCCUCCGUCUACGACGCUCUGAGCAUCUUCGUAGAGAGAAGAGUCUCAGCUCUGCCUGUCGUCAAUGAGGAAGGUAAAGUGGUGGCGCUGUACUCCAGGUUUGAUGUCAUUAACUUGGCAGCCCAGAAAAACUACAACAACCUGAACAUGACGAUGAGGGAGGCCGUGGCGUCCAGAGCCGGCUGGGUGGAGGGAGUCCUCAAGUGUUACCCUCAUGAAACCCUGGAGACCAUCAUCGACCGCAUCGCAAAGGCCGAGGUGCAUCGGUUGGUGUUGGUGGACGGUGACGACGUGGUCAGAGGCAUUGUGUCUCUGUCUGACCUCCUACAAGCUCUGGUCCUCAGUCCUGCAGGUAUUGAUGCUCUUUACUCCUAACGCCAACCCUUCAUCCAUCCAGUCCUCUUUCUGUCAGUCCUCUGGACAUUUGUCUACCCGUCGACCUCCAGAGCUUCAUCCAAGUCUUCGUCCUCCUGGAGUCCACAAGUCUCCUCCUAACCUUUUCAGCUGUUCCUUUAGUGCUUCUACCAGGAAUGAUUGUCCUGACUACGUCCCUGAAACCUCCUCACCAACUAACCACCUCUUAAAGUUUUCCAACUCAAUCAACAAACAGCGAUCAACCCCUUAAACCUCCAACAAAACUACAGCUGCAGGUUACAGCAUAUCUACCAACUUCCUACUAAACAGCCAAAUAAAUCUCUUCAACCCUCAUCUGAAUUUCCCUCCGUCCACCAAAGCGACACAAAGUGACCACAGAAUGACGCAAAACAACCACAAAGAGAUGAAAAACAACUGCAACAAAACAUAAAACUGCUGGAAAGAGACACAAAACAACCACAAAGAGACAUAAAGCUUCUUUGAAGAGAUGCAACCUGACCACAGUGAGACACAAAACAACUGCAAAGACUCACAACUGCUAUAGGGUUUACAAAGUGACUACAAACAGACAAAAUACAACCACAAAAAGACACAAACCGACCACAAGGAGACACAAAACCACCGCAAGGAGACACAAAAUGACCACAAAAAGACACAAACGACCAGAAAGAGACACAAAAUGACCACAAAAAGACACUAAACAACUGCAAAGAGACACAAGAUGGCCACAGAAACACAAAAUGACCACAAAAAGACGCAAAACAACCGCAAAGAGACUCAAAACUGCUAUAAAGAGACAGAAAAUGACCAUGAAGACUGAAACUGACCACAAGGAGACACAAAACCAAUUCAAAAAGACAAAAAAACGACCUCAAUGACACAAAGAGACACAAAGCAACUGCAGAGAGACUCAAAAUGACUACAGAGACACACAACGACCACAAUGAGACACAAAACAACCCCAAAGACAUAAAUCAACCCGAAGGAGACACAAAACCACAUCAAGAAGACAAAAAAUGACUACAAAGAGACACAAAGCAACUCAAAACUGCUACAAGAAAUCACAAAACAACCUCAACGAGACAAGAAGCUGCUUCACAGAGACACAAAACAACCAGGAGAUGAACAACAACCACAAAGUGAUGCAAAUCAACCCCAAAGAGAUGAAAACCAAGCAUUAAUACAUAAACCCAACAAGGGUUCAGCAUAAGGGUGAAGUCCUUCAAAAUAAAAGCUCCAGGCGACGCCCUCAGCUGACCUUCCUGUUUCUGGUCUACUUCCUGCGUCCUCCACCCAAACUAAACCUCCAGUCUGACCCGAGGCUUCAGCGUCCAGCUCACCUGUCAGAUAUUUACCAGCGACCAUCCUUUGAACACUGAAGAAAUCCAGACGGAGGAAAAGACACAGCAGAAACAGGACUGUGAUUUCAAUCCAGCGGAAGGACAUGAAAAACCUUCCACAGCUCAGCAGGACUAAUAACGGGCUUCACUUUGCUUCAGGUGAAACUCACCUGAGCUGUGGUUAUGGAACUGAAGAUCCAGAGACUUUAAACUGAAUUUGAGGUUGUUUUUAAAGCUGUGCCCCUCUGAAACUGAGUUGAUUCCAGAUUGGUCCUUCAGAUUCUGAAGAUCCUGGAACAGAGAUGACAUUUUUGUAAAUGCACUGAUGCUCCUCUUUCUGUGAAAAAUAAAUGUCUUGCUGUGUUUUCAGUCAUUUUAAGAAAGAAACAUUGUGUCUGUGUAGAUUUUCAGUCUUUCAGGUCAUGGUAACUAUGGAAACUUCAGUAGAAAGUAAACUUCUCUUCUAGAGGUUCCUUCAGUUGUGUUUCACCAUGCUGGAUGUAUCUUCCAACAAUGUCCUCCUCUGUAUCCAGUUUUUGAGCCAUGCCACAUUUCCGUUAAUCUUCAGUUCUAAAGAAGUUCUUGGAUAAGAGGUUAAAAAUCUAAUCCUCCUUCUUCAUUAUUCCAUUUACUUUGUGCAAAGCUCCAGUUCCACAGAGCAUGAUACUGCCACCACCAUGCUUGAUGGCAGGUUUGGUGUUCUUGGGGUUCAAGGCCUCACCUUUGUGGCACAGUUUUAUCACUUUGUGGUCAUUUUGUGUCUCAUUUUUCUUGUUUUAAGUUAUUUUUUGUCUUGUUUUUCUCAUUUUGUGUCUUAUUUUUGUAGCUAUGUGUCUUGUUUAAGUCAUUUUAUGUCUCUUUGGGAUAGUUUUGUUACCAUAUUGUCAUUUUGUGUCUUAUUUUUGUUUAAUGUCUUUUUUUCUUGUCAUUUUGUGUCUUGUUUUGGUGGUUUUUCUGUCUUUCUGACAGUUUUGUCACUUUAUGGUUGUUUUAUAUUUAUUUUUUCUUGUUUUAAGUUGCUUUGUGUCUCAUAUUUGUCAUUUUGCGUCUUGAUUUUUGUCUUUUGUUGUUUCACUGUUUUGAUUUUGUUACUUUUUGUGUCUUGUUCGUGUCAUUUUGUGUGUCCUUGUGGUUGUUUUUUCUCCACAUGUGUAGCGCUGUUUCCUGGAAUCACACACCAGAAUGUGACAUUAAUGUAGCAGGAUUAGUUUGUUCUGUUGGCUGAUCUGUGAGGUAAGAGGAGAUCAGGAGUAUCUGUGAUGCUCUGUCAGCUGCUGUUUACCAGAGGAGGGUUUGUUAAUUCUGCCAGUUUCAUGCAUCCUGGUCACAUGAUGAUCAGUCUCAUGCACACAAACACACUUACUGAAUAAACAGCUCAGCUUCA